AGAGUUUGAUCCUGGCUCAGGACGAACGCUGGCGGCGUGCUUAACACAUGCAAGUCGAACGGAAAGGCCCUUCGGGGUACUCGAGUGGCGAACGGGUGAGUAACACGUGGGUGAUCUGCCCUGCACUUUGGGAUAAGCCUGGGAAACUGGGUCUAAUACCGAAUAGGACCACGCGCUUCAUGGUGUGUGGUGGAAAGCUUUUGCGGUGUGGGAUGGGCCCGCGGCCUAUCAGCUUGUUGGUGGGGUAAUGGCCUACCAAGGCGACGACGGGUAGCCGGCCUGAGAGGGUGACCGGCCACACUGGGACUGAGAUACGGCCCAGACUCCUACGGGAGGCAGCAGUGGGGAAUAUUGCACAAUGGGCGCAAGCCUGAUGCAGCGACGCCGCGUGAGGGAUGACGGCCUUCGGGUUGUAAACCUCUUUCAAUAGGGACGAAGCGCAAGUGACGGUACCUAUAGAAGAAGCACCGGCCAACUACGUGCCAGCAGCCGCGGUAAUACGUAGGGUGCGAGCGUUGUCCGGAAUUACUGGGCGUAAAGAGCUCGUAGGUGGUUUGUCGCGUUGUUCGUGAAAACUCACAGCUUAACUGUGGGCGUGCGGGCGAUACGGGCAGACUAGAGUACUGCAGGGGAGACUGGAAUUCCUGGUGUAGCGGUGGAAUGCGCAGAUAUCAGGAGGAACACCGGUGGCGAAGGCGGGUCUCUGGGCAGUAACUGACGCUGAGGAGCGAAAGCGUGGGGAGCGAACAGGAUUAGAUACCCUGGUAGUCCACGCCGUAAACGGUGGGUACUAGGUGUGGGUUCCUUCCUUGGGAUCCGUGCCGUAGCUAACGCAUUAAGUACCCCGCCUGGGGAGUACGGCCGCAAGGCUAAAACUCAAAGGAAUUGACGGGGGCCCGCACAAGCGGCGGAGCAUGUGGAUUAAUUCGAUGCAACGCGAAGAACCUUACCUGGGUUUGACAUGCACAGGACGCCGGCAGAGAUGUCGGUUCCCUUGUGGCCUGUGUGCAGGUGGUGCAUGGCUGUCGUCAGCUCGUGUCGUGAGAUGUUGGGUUAAGUCCCGCAACGAGCGCAACCCUUGUCCUAUGUUGCCAGCGGGUUAUGCCGGGGACUCGUAGGAGACUGCCGGGGUCAACUCGGAGGAAGGUGGGGAUGACGUCAAGUCAUCAUGCCCCUUAUGUCCAGGGCUUCACACAUGCUACAAUGGCCGGUACAAAGGGCUGCGAUGCCGUGAGGUGGAGCGAAUCCUUUCAAAGCCGGUCUCAGUUCGGAUCGGGGUCUGCAACUCGACCCCGUGAAGUCGGAGUCGCUAGUAAUCGCAGAUCAGCAACGCUGCGGUGAAUACGUUCCCGGGCCUUGUACACACCGCCC
rnacentral:rRNA from 1 species